GAUGAACGCUGGCGGCGUGCCUAAUACAUGCAGGUCGAGCGAACGGACGAGAAGCUUGCUUCUCUGAUGUUAGCGGCGGACGGGUGAGUAACACGUGGAUAACCUACCUAUAAGACUGGGAUAACUUCGGGAAACCGGAGCUAAUACCGGAUGAUAUUUUGAACCGCAUGGUUCAAAAGUGAAAGACGGUCUUGCUGUCACUUAUAGAUGGAUCCGCGCUGCAUUAGCUAGUUGGUAAGGUAACGGCUUACCAAGGCAACGAUGCAUAGCCGACCUGAGAGGGUGAUCGGCCACACUGGAACUGAGACACGGUCCAGACUCCUACGGGAGGCAGCAGUAGGGAAUCUUCCGCAGUGGGCGAAAGCCUGACGGAGCAACGCCGCGUGAGUGAUGAAGGUCUUCGGAUCGUAAAACUCUGUUAUUAGGGAAGAACAUAUGUGUAAGUAACUGUGCACAUCUUGACGGUACCUAAUCAGAAAGCCACGGCUAACUACGU
rnacentral:rRNA from 1 species